AUACUUAAUUUUUACUUGGUCAUAUUUACGUAUAAUUUCGAUGUCAAGGUAUUUUCGUCACCUUCGCCAAUGAACGUACACCAAGAUUGUACUAGGACCUAGCAUUAAUUUAAAAGUUAAAUUUAGAAGGCUGGAAUGUCGGCUCAGCAACCUCCACCCGAAAUUCGAAGGAUCGCAACUAUAGUAAUGUGGUGCAUUAAAAUACAUUUAUGUUGACAGCGUUGAGUGGAUAAAAAGUUAAAGUCGAAACCCAAGCGGUCUCGAAAGAACGACCGCGACAUUAAAUAUAAUCAAUGCGACUCCGCCGAUCCAUAACCAAACACGGUAUUGUCGCAUUUAAGGCUGACAAAAAAGCCCGCUUUCGAAAAUUUAAGUCGAGAUGCGAUGGUCAGCGAAUUGUCUCUGAGACUCACCGUGGGAAAUUUUUUGGGAACGACAGUGUCACCGGCCCAUGAAGCGGGCCGUGGAAGCAAUGCAUUUCGCAAGGUGUUGCAGAAACAGAAUGUCAAUAAUAACACAUCCAGUUAAAAAUUUUAUAAAUUUGAUGAUUUUGAAUAAAAAUAAAAUAAAUUGUUGGAAUAGUUUAUAUUGGAAGGUAUAGUAAAUAUUUAGCAACUGAAAAAGCUACUUUUUACAUGUUUACUUACAAGUUUAUGAGAUUUCUUUAUCGAAUUAUAAAAUCAAUAAGGAAGAAAGAUCACUCAGAAACGAUUAGGUUUACCGUUUUUUACCUUUAUAGGUAUAAGUUUUAGGUAUAAGUAACAAGACUGUCACUGUUAUUUGUAUUCCCAUGCAAGUACGUAAUUGACUAGAAAGCUAAAAAUGGUAGACCCUCACAUUACGACAUAUUUUCCUAUAGCAAGAGUGGGUGGCUCCACGUGGUAAUAAAUAUUGAUUUAGUGGUGUCAUAGCAAACCAAUAUACUUAAAGUGUCAAAUUGCUUCUGUGUUUCGCAUGGUAAAUAAGUUUACUAAAGGCCUAAUUACCCCUUCACUUCCUAAUCCAUAUUUCUUUCCUAGAGUCAGCGACGCAUUCAUGAUUCUUUUUUAUGUAGGUAAUUAUAGGUGGUGUUAUGAUGUACAAAAUAAAACGAUGAAGGGUACUGCUACCCUUAAAACUAGCGAGAUUUAGGGUGAAAUAAUAAUGACCCUGUUAGCUUUCAGUUAGGUACAAUCAAUCAAUCGUCACAUGUGACAAUGAAACCAGUAUCGAACAGCUUCAUAAAAUAAGUGCUUUAUUGGUUAAAAUUAGUAGGUAUAGGUACAUAAUUUGAAUUAAAUAUGUGAAUGAAAACAAAACUAGCCCGAAUAGUGUUAUUCUGCAAUAUUGGAAG